GUUGAUCUCAAAUCAAAGUUUGUGUCACUAGGAGCGUAUUUGUGAGCUCGGAUCAUCCGGGUAACGGCUGGAAUGGUCCCAAUCCAGCCGAAAAGUUGCAAUUCCCCAAUUUUUUUCUCUCCUCAUUCAGCGUGAAUUCAAUGACAAUUGGUGAUAAGGUUGGUUGAAAAAGCUUCCCCAAGCCAAGGCGUGUUGAACGAGAUUGGUGGCACAGCCGGACGAUAAUAGGCACAAUCGAAAAAUGAUUGGAUUCUUCCUUGUGGCCAACGUUGGGUUUUGGGGAAAAUGGUGGCUCUCACGGCAUCCAGUGGAUGGGAAGAAUGCAUCAAAGGUGAGAAAGACUGUCG
rnacentral:misc_RNA from 1 species